UACGUAGGGGGCAAGCGUUAUCCGGAUUUACUGGGUGUAAAGGGAGCGUAGGUGGCUAGGUAAGUCAGAUGUGAAAGCCCGGGGCUCAACCCCGGGAUUGCAUUUGAAACUAUUUAGCUAGAGUGCAGGAGAGGUAAGUGGAAUUCCUAGUGUAGCGGUGAAAUGCGUAGAUAUUAGGAGGAACACCAGUGGCGAAGGCGGCUUACUGGACUGUAACUGACACUGAGGCUCGAAAGCGUGGGGAGCAAACAGGG
rnacentral:rRNA from 1 species